UUGCCACAAUUCCCACAUUGCGGAACGCCCAAACCCUAUUCGGUUCUCCUCUCUUCUUUCUCCGGACUCCAAUCCACAUGAGUAACGCGACCUAGCUCUCCACUCCACUGUUCCAGGAGGCAGACGCAGCAUUCGCCGGAGCCCGGAGCCAAGGCAACGAACGACGUGUUCUGCGAGUGCGAGACUGCGACUUCUGCUUCUGCUGGCUGCUGCAGUGAACGGACCGUGACUGCCGGUCCGAGCUUUUAUGAUCGUUGAUUGACGACGGUUAAUGAUCAAAGUCAACCUCCAACCUAGCUGAACGUUGAUGCUAGAUUCGUCCCUGUUCUCGAGCAUAUCUUCCAUCUGAUAUUGGUUUUUGUACUAUUAAUUAUUUAUAUGGAGGGAUUGAAAGAAUGCGAAGCAAACUUGGUGGUGUAUCUCCACCCAUCCAUGGCCAAAUGCGUCAACAAUGCUAUCCUCCGUGAGCUAAGCUCUUUACUCUUCAUGUUUUUCAAAUACAAUGAGACUUUUGAUGGCGUUGUAUUGGUGAAUGAUCCGAAUGUACGAAGUAAUUUGGCAAAGAUUCUUCCCGGAAUUCAUCCGUAUCUUGGUGUGAGGUUAAAAGCAAAAUUGUUGCUUUGUAGUCCCAAGCCAAAUAUGCUUUUAGAAGGAGAGGUAGUUAAAAUUGGUAGACAGUCGAUUCAUGCUGUGAUUCUUGGUUUUCCAUCUGCUGUUAUAGCAGAUGAAGACAUUCGCGAUGAAUUCAAGUGUAAAGUUAAACAUGGAAAGGAAGUGUUUGUUAGCCGACGUCACAAGAAACACAAGAUCAAAGUUGGAACCAUAAUACGAUUUUUAGUCAAGAGCUUUGACAAAGAGAUACUCCACAUUUCUGGUUCUUUGGUUGCUGCCAAUACGGGAUGCACGUGAUGGUUAGAUACAAAUUUGGAAGAAUGGUCUCAAGCUGACAGCACCACUAGCAAGAGGAAAGAUAGGGAUGAGAAGGAGCAAAAGAUUGCAGAUGACAAAUUAAUGGCCAGUGGGGAUAUCCCUUCCUUGAAAAAAGAUGAUAGAAUUAAGAAGUUGAAGAAGAAGAGAAAAGAACAUACAUGAAGUUUGCUGCUGAUUUGCAUAUGCAUGCAUUCUCAAGAUGUGUGACUUAAAACUGCAAGUCUCUUUGGAAUUAUGGAUAAGUCAUUAGUUCUUCCGUGCUUUAGUAGAGCCAAUUAGAGUAGGAUAACUCCUCGCUGUCGAUAAGGGAGAGGUACUAAUCUCUGGUUUCCCCUUCUCAUUCAACAUUUCUCUCUCCAAUUUUUUGAAUUUUUCCUUCAUUUUAUUCCAUAUUCAUUCAUUAUGCUUGAAUCAAAAAAUGGUUCGAGCAAUGGAUGAAGAUGAUCGAUCAAUGAAACAGCAAAAAGCUGGAUGGACAUUUACGCGGUCAGAAAAUCUCUAAUCUUCGAUGGGCAGCGAUGGAAUGAAAGAGAGAAAAUUCAGACAGCAAUUGGGAGAGAAGCUGAAACUGAAACUGAAGCUGUGUUGGAAAAUGGCUGCUACUAAUUAUUUUUUUUUAGCCCUGUGCUGCAUCGUUUGAAUGAGAUUUCCUGUUUCGGUUUUCCUACUUCAUCUGCUGCUCGUAUCUCCAUUGCUAAGAAAAAAGGGUAUUCAUUCAG